AUCAAGCAUGAAGCAGCGAAUGGAAAUUAUGUAUUUAUACCCACUUCAAUGUUUGAUUUUACCACUUCCUGUAUAGCUUUCACUAGAGAAUGGGAACAUAUAGUGGUUACGUUGCUGUGUUUGUGCAGAUGCAUGCACCAGCAUACUACAAGUGCAUGUUUAAUAGCAGGCAAGAAGAAGAGCAAACAACUAUGGUGAUUCCUAUUUACUGGUACUUUGCUUUGCUCUUCUUUUGGGUGGCAGAAGAUGUUGUAAGCAACAAAUUAGAUGUUUUGACGGUCAGAUUGGGGGAUUCUCUUACGUUAAACUGCACCUAUAACUGCUCUGCUCAAUUUAUCCGUGGAUGUUGGAAUACAAAGGAAAAAAAUCCUCGCUGUUACACUGGGCCGAAAAACACAAACGGCUUUUGCACAGUGUCCCUGCCCCUGUUAAAUGUGACUGUAACAGACUCCGAAAGAACAUACCGAUGCUACACAAUACAAACAGACGACCCUCAAUAUCAUGAAGAAAUUCAACGCACUGUUGCCUUUAAGCUUCAAAAUGAUACGCGCCUCCUAAACUCCACUGCAGCAGUUUCUGAUGAGCCGAAGGAAUCGACCGAAGAUGAGUUUGCUUCUGUUAACGGUACAUUUGCAUUUUGAGUUUAAAAAAAACAUUCAUCCACAUGUGGUAAAGACAGUUAAUCCAAUAUAACAGUGUUUUGUUUGUGUCAUCAGGAGAAUCGACGAGAAUUAAGGUUUUGGCCACAGGUGUUUUUUUCGUGGCCAUGGUUCUUGUCGCUCCUGCUGUUUAUAUCUGCGUGAAACGAAUCAGGCAAAUCUGUAACUAUAAAGGUGUGGAAAUGAUAUACACUCAAAACAAAAUUAGCAACUAUUGGGAAACCGCUUGUAUACAUAUAUUUUUAAAAUGAUCAAUUUUGAACAUUUCAGGAGAGCACGAAGGAUCAAGCUCAAGGUACUAACUUCAGUUACUAAUGUCUAUUAUAUUAGAGUUUAUCUCUUGGAGAUUUACAAGUUCUGACUGAUAUUUCAGCUCACCACAACCAACUGACACCGUCCCUUUAUCAAUGAAUGGUAGGUUACGAAACAUGUCUUUUGUUAGAAACCAAUCCUUUCAUCCUUUGGCGCAGCGCUUAUUUUAAUAUCUGUCCAUUUACAGGCACACCAUCAGUACAAAACGAAAGAGUAACUUUGAGGAUUCCUACAUCAGGUAAUGUAAUCAGUCCUCAUAACAGUGCCACACAGAUUUGAACUAAUGCCGUGUUUUUUCAACUUUUGGGGUCAUGACCCCAGGUGGGGAUGCCUGGAAUUUAAAUGGGUCACCUGAAAUGUAUUGAAAUUGACCAAACAAAUUACUGAAUAAGAAUACAUGUAAACUUUCAUUCAAAAAUAUAAAUUAUUUUUCAAAUUAAAACAGAACACACAAUGUUAAACAACAGCAUUCUGUGCUUUCAAUUUCUCAAACACAAAUCUAGUUUAGAAAAAAAUGCAGUAUAAAAAAAAGAAGAAAGACAAAAAAUAAAUACAAUUAAUUAAUUAAAUACA
rnacentral:lncRNA from 1 species